rnacentral:rRNA from 1 species
GAUGAACGCUGGCGGCGUGCCUAAUACAUGCAAGUCGAGCGAACAGAUCAGGAGCUUGCUCCUCUGACGUUAGCGGCGGACGGGAGAGUAACACGUGGAUAACCUACCUAUAAGACUGGGAUAACUUCGGGAAACCGGAGCUAAUACCGGAUAAUAUAUUGAACCGCAUGGUUCAAUAGUGAAAGACGGUUUUGCUGUCACUUAUAGAUGGAUCCGCGCCGCAUUAGCGAGUUGGUAAGGUAACGGCUUACCAAGGCAACGAUGCGUAGCCGACCUGAGAGGGUGAUCGGCCACACUGGAAGUGAGACACGGACCACACUCCUACGGGAGGCAGCAGUAGGGAAUCUUCCGCAAUGGGCGAAAGCUUGACGGAGCAACGCCGCGGGAGUGAUGAAGGUCUGCGGAUCGGAAAACUCUGUUAUUAGGGAAGAACAAAUGUGUAAGUAACUAUGCACGUCUUGACGGUACCUAAUCAGAAAGCCACGGCUAACUACGUG